ensembl:misc_RNA Metazoa_SRP Metazoan signal recognition particle RNA
GCUGGGUGUGGUGGUGCACGCCUGUAGUCCCAGCUACUUGGGAAGCUGAGGCAUGAGGAUCACUUGAGCCCAGGAGGUUGAGGCUGCAGUGAGUCAUGAUCACACAGCUGCACUCCAGCCUGGGCAACAGAGUGAGACCCUGUCUCAA